rnacentral:tRNA from 14 species
AAUGUGGCCGAGUGGUUAAGGCGAUGGAUUGCUAAUAGCUAAAACAAACAGAGGUUCGAAUCCUAUCAUUG